rnacentral:rRNA from 1 species
GGUUAAGCGACUAAGCGUACACGGUGGAUGCCCUGGCAGUCAGAGGCGAUGAAGGACGUGCUAAUCUGCGAAAAGCGUCGGUAAGGUGAUAUGAACCGUUAUAACCGGCGAUGUCCGAAUGGGGAAACCCAGUGCAAUUCGUUGCACUAUCGUUAACUGAAUACAUAGGUUAACGAGGCGAACCGGGGGAACUGAAACAUCUAAGUACCCCGAGGAAAAGAAAUCAACCGAGAUUCCCCCAGUAGCGGCGAGCGAACGGGGAGCAGCCCAGAGUCUGAAUCAGCUUGUGUGUUAGUGGAACGGUCUGGAAAGUCCGACGGUACAGGGUGAUAGUCCCGUACACCAAAAUGCACAGGUUGUGAACUCGAAGAGUAGGGCGGGACACGUGGUAUCCUGUCUGAAUAUGGGGGGACCAUCCUCCAAGGCUAAAUACUCCUGACUGACCGAUAGUGAACCAGUACCGUGAGGGAAAGGCGAAAAGAACCCCGGCGAGGGGAGUGAAAAAGAACCUGAAACCGUGUACGUACAAGCAGUGGGAGCACCUUCGGGUGUGACUGCGUACCUUUUGUAUAAUGGGUCAGCGACUUAUAUUCUGUAGCAAGGUUAACCGUAUAGGGGAGCCGCAGGGAAACCGAGUCUUAACUGGGCGUUAAGUUGCAGGGUAUAGACCCGAAACCCGGUGAUCUAGCCAUGGGCAGGUUGAAGGUUGGGUAACACUAACUGGAGGACCGAACCGACUAAUGUUGAAAAAUUAGCGGAUGACUUGUGGCUGGGGGUGAAAGGCCAAUCAAACCGGGAGAUAGCUGGUUCUCCCCGAAAGCUAUUUAGGUAGCGCCUCGUGAAUUCAUCUUCGGGGGUAGAGCACUGUUUCGGCUAGGGGGUCAUCCCGACUUACCAACCCGAUGCAAACUACGAAUACCGAAGAAUGUUAUCACGGGAGACACACGGCGGGUGCUAACGUCCGUCGUGAAGAGGGAAACAACCCAGACCGCCAGCUAAGGUCCCAAAGUCAUGGUUAAGUGGGAAACGAUGUGGGAAGGCACAGACAGCCAGGAUGUUGGCUUAGAAGCAGCCAUCAUUUAAAGAAAGCGUAAUAGCUCACUGGUCGAGUCGGCCUGCGCGGAAGAUGUAACGGGGCUAAACCAUGCACCGAAGCUGCGGCAGCGACACUAUGUGUUGUUGGGUAGGGGAGCGUUCUGUAAGCCUGCGAAGGUGUGCUGUGAGGCAUGCUGGAGGUAUCAGAAGUGCGAAUGCUGACAUAAGUAACGAUAAAGCGGGUGAAAAGCCCGCUCGCCGGAAGACCAAGGGUUCCUGUCCAACGUUAAUCGGGGCAGGGUGAGUCGACCCCUAAGGCGAGGCCGAAAGGCGUAGUCGAUGGGAAACAGGUUAAUAUUCCUGUACUUGGUGUUACUGCGAAGGGGGGACGGAGAAGGCUAUGUUAGCCGGGCGACGGUUGUCCCGGUUUAAGCAUGUAGGCUGAUUAUCCAGGCAAAUCCGGAUAAUCAAGGCUGAGGUGUGAUGACGAGGCACUACGGUGCUGAAGUAACAAAUGCCCUGCUUCCAGGAAAAGCCUCUAAGCAUCAGGUAACAUCAAAUCGUACCCCAAACCGACACAGGUGGUCAGGUAGAGAAUACCAAGGCGCUUGAGAGAACUCGGGUGAAGGAACUAGGCAAAAUGGUGCCGUAACUUCGGGAGAAGGCACGCUGGUGUGUAGGUGAAGCCCCUGCGGGUGGAGCUGAGACCAGUCGAAGAUACCAGCUGGCUGCAACUGUUUAUUAAAAACACAGCACUGUGCAAACACGAAAGUGGACGUAUACGGUGUGACGCCUGCCCGGUGCCGGAAGGUUAAUUGAUGGGGUUAUCCGUAAGGAGAAGCUCUUGAUCGAAGCCCCGGUAAACGGCGGCCGUAACUAUAACGGUCCUAAGGUAGCGAAAUUCCUUGUCGGGUAAGUUCCGACCUGCACGAAUGGCGUAAUGAUGGCCAGGCUGUCUCCACCCGAGACUCAGUGAAAUUGAACUCGCUGUGAAGAUGCAGUGUACCCGCGGCAAGACGGAAAGACCCCGUGAACCUUUACUAUAGCUUGACACUGAACAUUGAGCCUUGAUGUGUAGGAUAGGUGGGAGGCUUUGAAGCGUGGACGCCAGUCUGCGUGGAGCCAACCUUGAAAUACCACCCUUUAAUGUUUGAUGUUCUAACGUUGGCCCCUUACCGGGGUUGCGGACAGUGUCUGGUGGGUAGUUUGACUGGGGCGGUCUCCUCCUAAAGCGUAACGGAGGAGCACGAAGGUUAGCUAAUCCUGGUCGGACAUCAGGAGGUUAGUGCAAUGGCAUAAGCUAGCUUGACUGCGAGCGUGACGGCGCGAGCAGGUGCGAAAGCAGGUCAUAGUGAUCCGGUGGUUCUGAAUGGAAGGGCCAUCGCUCAACGGAUAAAAGGUACUCCGGGGAUAACAGGCUGAUACCGCCCAAGAGUUCAUAUCGACGGCGGUGUUUGGCACCUCGAUGUCGGCUCAUCACAUCCUGGGGCUGAAGUAGGUCCCAAGGGUAUGGCUGUUCGCCAUUUAAAGUGGUACGCGAGCUGGGUUUAGAACGUCGUGAGACAGUUCGGUCCCUAUCUGCCGUGGGCGCUGGAGAAUUGAGGGGGGCUGCUCCUAGUACGAGAGGACCGGAGUGGACGCAUCACUGGUGUUCGGGUUGUCAUGCCAAUGGCACUGCCCGGUAGCUAAAUGCGGAAGAGAUAAGUGCUGAAAGCAUCUAAGCACGAAACUUGCCCCGAGAUGAGUUCUCCCUGAGACUUUAAGUCUCCUGAAGGAACGUUGAAGACGACGACGUUGAUAGGCCGGGUGUGUAAGCGCAGCGAUGCGUUGAGCUAACCGGUACUAAUGAACCGUGAGGCUUAACCUU